rnacentral:ncRNA from 1 species
CGCUAGCGAUUGGGGGAUGGUUCUCGUCCCCGGUCCCCGGGGCGGGAUGAAAAGGGAACACGGUGCGGUCCACACCGGCAAUGCCGGAACGGAUCAAAGCCGCGACUGCCCCCGCAACUGUGAGCGGUGAGCAAUGCCGAAACACCACUGGCCCCAAGGCUGGGAAGGUCGGCAAAGCGAUGAUCCGCAAGUCAGGAGACCUGCCAUCCAAACGAAACCGAA